rnacentral:rRNA from 1 species
GAGUUUGAUUAUGGCUCAGGAUGAACGCUAGCGGGAGGCCUAACACAUGCAAGCCGAGCGGGAUUUGUUGGUUAGCUUGCUAACUGAUAAUGAGAGCGGCGUACGGGUGCGUAACACGUGUGCAACCUGCCUUUAUCUGGGGGAUAGCCUUUCGAAAGGAAGAUUAAUACCCCAUAAUAUAUUAAUUGGCAUCAAUUGAUAUUGAAAGCUCCGGCGGAUAGAGAUGGGCACGCGUAAGAUUAGCUAGUUGGUGAGGUAACGGCUCACCAAGGCUGCGAUCUUUAGGGGGCCUGAGAGGGUGAUCCCCCACACUGGUACUGAGACACGGACCAGACUCCUACGGGAGGCAGCAGUGAGGAAUAUUGGACAAUGGGUGAGAGCCUGAUCCAGCCAUCCCGCGUGAAGGACUAAGGACCUAUGGUUUGUAAACUUCUUUUAUACAGGGAUAAACCUACUCUCGUGAGG